CCCCGCGGCCCCGGAGCGAACAAGCGGCCCUUUCUGUGCCGGGACCUCAGCUGGCGGGCGGCCCGGGGCGCACACGGUCCGGGCUGGGGCGGCGUUGCCAAGGUGACCCGCGCUGGGCUGGCGACGGGCAGCGGCGACGAUACCAUGAGCGGCCGGAAGCGCAGCUUCACCUUCGGUGCCUAUGGAGGGGUGGACAAAUCCUUCUCCCUUCGACAGAGUGUGUGGAGGAGUGAUGGGCAGAAGCAGAGUUUCCCUCAGGCACUAAACCUGUUACUGGUGGACUCAGUUCCCUCCCACCCUGCUUCACCCUACCCUAAGAACACAGAUCUGUUUGAGAUGAUUGAAAAGAUGCAGGGAAGCAGGAUGGAUGAACAGCGAUGCUCCUUCCCGCCACCCCUCAAGACGGAGGAGGACUACAUUCCCUACCCAAGUGUCCAUGAGGUUUUGGGGCGAGAAGGGCCCUUCCCCCUCAUCCUACUGCCCCAGUUUGGGGGCUACUGGAUUGAAGGCACCAACCAUGAAAUCAGCAGCCUCCCUGAGACAGAGCCGCUGCAGUCUCCCACCACCAAGGUCAAGCUGGAGUGCAACCCCACAGCCCGAAUCUACCGGAAGCACUUUCUGGGCAAGGAGCACUUCAAUUACUAUUCACUGGACACUGCUCUCGGCCACCUGGUAUUCUCGCUCAAGUAUGAUGUCAUCGGGGAUCAGGAGCACCUGCGGCUGUUGCUUAGGACCAAGUGUCGGACCCACCACGAUGUCAUCCCCAUCUCCUGCCUCACCGAGUUCCCCAACGUGGUCCAGAUGGCAAAGCUGGUAUGUGAGGAUGUCAAUGUGGAUCGAUUCUACCCCGUGCUUUACCCUAAGGCCUCCAGGCUCAUUGUCACCUUUGACGAACAUGUUAUCAGCAAUAACUUCAAGUUUGGAGUCAUUUAUCAGAAGCUUGGCCAGACCUCUGAGGAAGAACUAUUCAGUACCAACGAGGAAAGUCCUGCCUUCGUGGAAUUCCUGGAGUUUCUGGGCCAGAAAGUGAAAUUGCAGGAUUUCAAGGGGUUCCGAGGAGGCCUUGACGUGACUCACGGGCAGACGGGGACCGAGUCCGUAUACUGCAACUUCCGCAACAAGGAGAUCAUGUUUCACGUGUCCACCAAGCUGCCAUACACAGAAGGGGACGCUCAGCAGUUGCAGCGGAAGCGGCAUAUCGGGAACGACAUCGUCGCUGUGGUCUUCCAGGACGAAAACACGCCCUUCGUGCCAGACAUGAUUGCAUCCAACUUUCUGCAUGCCUAUGUGGUGGUGCAGGCAGAGGGGGGUGGCCCCGAUGGCCCCCUCUACAAGGUCUCUGUCACUGCUAGAGACGAUGUGCCCUUUUUUGGGCCUCCCCUCCCGGAUCCUGCUGUGUUUAGGAAGGGGCCUGAGUUCCAGGAAUUUCUGCUGACGAAGUUGAUCAAUGCCGAGUAUGCGUGUUACAAAGCAGAGAAGUUUGCCAAACUGGAGGAGCGGACGCGUGCCGCCCUUCUUGAGACGCUCUACGAGGAGCUCCAUAUUCACAGCCAGUCCAUGAUGGGCCUCGGCGGCGACGACGACAAGAUGGAGAACGGCAGCGGUGGGGGUGGCUUCUUCGAGUCUUUCAAGAGGGUCAUCCGGAGCCGGAGUCAGUCCAUGGAUGCCAUGGGACUGAGCAACAAGAAACCCAACACCGUGUCAACUAGCCACAGUGGGAGCUUCACCCCCAACAACCCUGACCUGGCCAAGGCAGCCGGCAUAUCAUUGCUUAUUCCCGGGAAAAGCGCGAGUAGAUUCGGACGCCGGGGCAGCGCCUUAGGCAUAGGAGCUGUGGAAGAGGUUGUCAUCCAUCCGGGGGGCCGCGGCUCCGGAGCUGCCUGCACGCGCUGUUCUCCGCUCGCUCUCAGGACGGAGGCCAUAUUGGGGACGUUGCCCCCUUCCCGGGACAGGCCUAAGGGCGUGCAGGGCAGAGUUCCACGGCUCUGGUGAUACUGGGACCUGGGCCAGAGUCCCCAGGACCCCACUAGGAGACUCUGGCCCUGGCCUGGCCCCUGGAACCCUGACUGGGUCCUUGCUGGGAUCUGGUACUCAAAGACUCUCUGCCCAGCUGCACGUCUCCCAAUAUUGCCGGUCCUGCAUGAAGCAUCAUCUCUCCUUUUCCUCGUGACCCCUCCUUACCAUGAGCUGCCUGCAGAUUCUGUCCCUCCCUUCAUGCCUCCUCAGGGCCCACUUCCCACCUCCCCACGCUUCUGAUUCUGGGCAUCCCGCCAUGUCCCUGAUUGUCCCUGGAAAAAGCCCCACAAGGAAGAAGUCUGGUCCGUUUGGCUCACGCCGCAGCAGUGCCAUUGGCAUCGAGAACAUCCAGGAGGUUCAGGAGAAGAGGGAGAGCCCUCCAGCUGGCCAGAAGACCCCAGACAGCGGGCAUGUCUCACAAGAGCCCAAGUCAGAGAACUCAUCCACUCAGAGCUCCCCAGAGAUGCCCACGACCAAGAACAGAGUGGAGUCGGCUGCCCAGAGAACGGAAGUGCUGCAGGGCUUCUCCAGAUCUUCCUCCAGCGCCAGCAGCUUCACCAGCGUGGUGGAGGAGACGGAGGGCGUAGACGGGGAUGAUACAGGCCUGGAGAGCGUGUCGUCCUCAGGAACUCCCCAUAAGCGGGACUCCUUCCUCUACAGCACAUGGCUGGACGACAGCGUGAGCACCACGAGCGGGGGCAGCUCCCCAGGCCUCACACGGUCACCCCACCCAGACGUCGGCAAGUCGGGGGACCCUGCGUGUCCCGAGAUCAAGAUCCAACUGGAAACAUCUGAGCAGCACACACCCCAGAUGGGCUGCUAGCUGUCACCUCAUCAGCAGGCGGGACUGAGCAGAGGAGGCCUCAGAAGCACAAGAAGAUGCCGCACCACAUCCAGGCAGCUGGCCCUCUGCCCCACAGCCACCCCAGCCCCUGGCGCCCCUCCCUCCAAGCCCUGGGCCCGCCCAUCUGGGCUGUCUCCGCAGGGCGGAGCCAUCCAGAGCUCUCAGAAUGGAUGCUGCCGGCAUCACCGCCCCCACCCCACCCUCAGGCUGGAGCUCUGGGUGUGGGCAGGGACUGUGGCCCUGGAUUGCCCUCACUUGGGCCUCUGUCACACCGGGUUCCCCUCUGGAGCCACGGGGAACAGGGUAGGAAAAGGAGAAGAAGCACCGUGCGCAUACAGCCCACCGCAGAAGCAGCAGGUGCAGGGUGCGCGAAUGCGCAAGCGCCGGGCAGAGUCCCGUGCGGCUUCUGCUGUGGGACGUGGGCCAGGCACCCUCAUUCUCUGGGCAUCUCUGCUGCAAGUGGACAAGAGUAUUUCAGAGAUCACUGAAGCCUGAGUCCAUGCACCUGCCCCAGGAGGGGGCCAUUGUCCUAGGGACCGCCUAUCACGCCGACUGCUUCCCGAGGCCCCGGGUGGGCUAAGGGGCUGGGUCUGCUUCACCAAUCACCCAACCUGAGUCCCCCAGCUUUACCACAGAGCUGCCAACGUCCUUUCACUGUCUCCACACGAUGGCCCAGUAUCCUUGGUUGUGGAUAGGGUCAUCCCUGGCUCCUCACCCAGCACCCAGCUUAACCCUGCCACCCCACACUCCUGGGAGCACUGGGCUGAGGGGGUCUCAGCUGGUCUGGAGUCCAGACCUCGCCAUCCCCUGCCCACCAUUGCCGUGGAGGGGGCUGCCAGGCAUAGCUGCUGUGAGCCAUGUCCUUGUGUGUGUCUGUUCACUCUUAGGAGCCACGCCCAAGGCGAGACUUCCAGCCCCAACACCCACUUUGGAAGCCCUGUGGCCACAUGUAUGUCAGUAAGGGUUGUACAAAAUAAAUUCUAUUUAUCGCUAUUGUA